rnacentral:rRNA from 1 species
UACAGAGGUCCCAAGCGUUGUUCGGAAUUACUGGGCGUAAAGCGCGCGUAGGCGGAUCUGCAAGUCGGGGGUGAAAUCCCGAGGCUCAACCUCGGAACUGCCUUCGAUACUGCGGGUCUCGAGUCCGGGAGAGGUGAGUGGAAUUCCUAGUGUAGAGGUGAAAUUCGUAGAUAUUAGGAAGAACACCAGUGGCGAAGGCGGCUCACUGGCCCGGUACUGACGCUGAGGCGCGAAAGCGUGGGGAGCAAACAGG